ACUCACUUGGUGAAAUGGUAGACACGGCAGAUUCAAAAUCUGCUCCUUCGGGAUUAUCGGUUCAAGUCCGAUAGUGAGUA
rnacentral:tRNA from 1 species